rfam:Butyrivibrio proteoclasticus strain P18 genome assembly, contig: Ga0066879_118
UAUGAUGGAGGCGUCAAAAGUCGAAAAUGCGUACAUGCUUGCAUGUUAAGCAUUUUGACUUUAUGAACCGAACAAAUAUGAGAAAUAAACAAUUUACGUAGUAAAUUAGCGGUUUCCGGAUAUUUGUAGAAUUGCGAGAGUUUCGAAGAAACGACGCAAUUCGUAUAUCAUA